AAGCCAUGGUGAGGGCAACUUCUCUGCAAAUCCUUAAAUCUUUUCCAAGCCUCAUACACUGAUUCAUUCUCAAAUUGCUGAAARGUAGUGAUGUCUUUGAUGAUCUU
rnacentral:snoRNA from 1 species